rnacentral:lncRNA from 1 species
UACAAUAGAUAUUUGAGUAAAUUAAAUAGGUUUGACAGGCACUGAGAAGAGUUGUAAGUCCUAGUCUUACGCACAUUUUAUUUGCUGAUGACAACAUAGCCUUUGGUGAGGCUAUGAGAAGUGGUGCUCUGUUUUCAUCAUUCAGGAAUACGAACAUUUCUCGAGCCAACAGGUUAAUUUUUGUAAAUUUACUUAUUUUAGUGGUCGACUUUAUGUGAGCCUAAAUUUAUUGGGGGCAUGUGGUUUCAUGAUAUGGGGAAGUUCAACAUUGCUUUGUUAUCCAUAAAUUUAACAGUGUCAUGGCGAGGGAAGGAUUGGACGAUCCGAGCUCCAGUGAACGCCGGACACGACAGAGGCAGAGUCAGGAGAGGCGGUGGUAGUCAUGAAAGCAAAACGAGAAUCAGGUCUCUAGAAUCACGGCGACUGAUACCAUGUAAGUAACUCUAUAACAUUGAAUAAAAGAAAGAAAUACUGAAAUGAAAGGAAAUACUGAAAGACUGAAAGACUGAAUUACGUUAUAUUCAUUAUGGAACUUAUAUACUGACAAAGAAUGACUAACUGCUGCUAACUAAUCCACUAACAAUACACAAGACUCUGUUAAUAGACUAACAACCUUUCAUUUACAUACUUUAACACACCUGCAUUUUGCGUUGGAGGGCGGCUUUUCAAGUUGAAAAUGACAAUAUCUAAAUCACACACUGUCAGACUUCUCGUAGACAAGCAUUCCAGGCUCUAACUCCCGAUAAUAGCCGAUUACACUAAUCAUUUGGUAAACAAUUUCAUGCAUACGAGGAGACAUGCAACUUGUUGAUGAUUCAUUUACCGCUGUUGCUUCAGCUCUUGCAGGCAGAGCACAAAUUACGGUCACCUUGGCUCUCCUGGUAAACACAUUGAUUUCUACAAUUUCAUAACUUGUGACAGUACAUAGAAUUGGCAACCUGCGUGAAUUCAGAUUCUUGAAGGCCUCAUAAUCUGCAGUAUUAUCAACAACAGUCAGAUUAUACAUCAAUUCUAACAUAACUAAACUUCAAUACAUGACCAAGCUAAAAAAUAUUUUUAGGGGGUCAAAAUUAAAUUUUAAUAGUUUAUUAUUUUUAUAAUUUUUAAAUGAUUAAAUUAAAUUUUUAUCAUUUUUAUAGGUUUAAAAUAUAAUUUUAUAUUUACUAAUUUAAAAUUUUAAAAUUUUCUCAUUUAGGAAGCUGGAAUCUGCCAGUCCCCCUAUACGCUACUGCAUAUAUAUCUAUGGGUGUAACGUUCCCAUACGGAUGGUUGAAUUCCAAUAUCAUUGCCAAAAGGUUUCCUCCUGCAUCUGCAUUCUCUGAUGG